AUUGAACGCUGGCGGCAUGCCUUACACAUGCAAGUCGAACGGCAGCAUGAUCUAGCUUGCUAGAUUGAUGGCGGGUGGCGAACGGGUGAGUAAUACAUCGGAACGUGCCCUGUAGUGGGGGAUAACUAGUCGAAAGAUUAGCUAAUACCGCAUACGACCUGAGGGUGAAAGUGGGGGACCGCAAGGCCUCAUGCUAUAGGAGCGGCCGAUGUCUGAUUAGCUAGUUGGUGGGGUAAAGGCCCACCAAGGCGACGAUCAGUAGCUGGUCUGAGAGGACGAUCAGCCACACUGGGACUGAGACACGGCCCAGACUCCUACGGGAGGCAGCAGUGGGGAAUUUUGGACAAUGGGCGAAAGCCUGAUCCAGCAAUGCCGCGUGUGUGAAGAAGGCCUUCGGGUUGUAAAGCACUUUUGUCCGGAAAGAAAUGGCUCUGGUUAAUACCUGGGGUCGAUGACGGUACCGGAAGAAUAAGGACCGGCUAACUACGUGCCAGCAGCCGCAGUAAAAC
rnacentral:rRNA from 1 species